rnacentral:rRNA from 1 species
CCUACGGGAGGCAGCAGUGGGGAAUAUUGCACAAUGGGCGAAAGCCUGAUGCAGCGACGCCGCGUGAGGGAUGACGGCCUUCGGGUUGUAAACCUCUUUCAGCAGGGAAGAAGCGAAAGUGACGGUACCUGCAGAAGAAGCGCCGGCUAACUACGUGCCAGCAGCCGCGGUAAUACGUAGGGCGCGAGCGUUGUCCGGAAUUAUUGGGCGUAAAGAGCUCGUAGGCGGCUUGUCACGUCGGUUGUGAAAGCCCGGGGCUUAACCCCGGGUCUGCAGUCGAUACGGGCAGGCUAGAGUUCGGUAGGGGAGAUCGGAAUUCCUGGUGUAGCGGUGAAAUGCGCAGAUAUCAGGAGGAACACCGGUGGCGAAGGCGGAUCUCUGGGCCGAUACUGACGCUGAGGAGCGAAAGCGUGGGGAGCGAACAGGAUUAGAUACCCUGGUAGUCCACGCCGUAAAUGGUGGGCACUAGGUGUGGGCGACAUUCCACGUCGUCCGUGCCGCAGCUAACGCAUUAAGUGCCCCGCCUGGGGAGUACGGCCGCAAGGCUAAAACUCAAAGGAAUUGACGG